AGUGAACGCUGGCGGUAGGCCUAACACAUGCAAGUCGAACGGCAGCACAGUAAGAGCUUGCUCUUACGGGUGGCGAGUGGCGGACGGGAGAGGAAUAUAACGGAAUCUACUCUUUCGUGGGGGAUAACGUAGGGAAACUUACGCUAAUACCGCAUACGAUCUACGGGUGAAAGGAGGGGAUCUUCGGACCUUGCGCGGUUGAAUGAGCCGAUGUCGGAUUAGCUAGUUGGCGGGGUAAAGGCCCACCAAGGCGGCGAUCCGUAGCCGGACUGAGUGAAUGAUCAGCCGCACUGGAGCUGGGACACGGUCCAGGCUCCUACGGGAGGCAGCAGUGGGGAAUAUUGGACAGUAGGCGGAAACCUGAUCCAGCCAUACCGCGUGGGUGGAAAAGACCUUCGGUUUGUGAAGCCCUUUUGUUGGGUAAGAAAAGCAGCAGGUUAAUACCCCGCUGUUCUGACGGUACCCAGAGAAUAAGCACCGGCUAACUUCGUG
rnacentral:rRNA from 1 species